AAUAGAUACCCGGGUAGUCCACCCCGUAAACGUUGGGAACUAGUUGUGGGGUCCUUUCCACGGAUUCCGUGACGCAGCUAACGCAUUAAGUUCCCCGCCUGGGGAGUACGGCCGCAAGGCUAAAACUCAAGGGAAUUGACGGGGACCCGCACAAGCGGCGGAGCAUGCGGAUUAAUUCGAUGCAACGCGAAGAACCUUACCAAGGCUUGACAUACACCAGAACACCCUAGAAAUAGGGGACUCUUUGGACACUGGUGAACAGGUGGUGCAUGGUUGUCGUCAGCUCGUGUCGUGAGAUGUUGGGUUAAGUCCCGCAACGAGCGCAACCCUCGUUCUAUGUUGCCAGCACGUAAUGGUGGGAACUCAUGGGAUACUGCCGGGGUCAACUCGGAGGAAGGUGGGGAUGACGUCAAAUCAUCAUGCCCCUUAUGUCUUGGGCUUCACGCAUGCUACAAUGGCCGGUACAAAGGGCUGCAAUACCGUGAGGUGGAGCGAAUCCCAAAAAGCCGGUCCCAGUUCGGAUUGAGGUCUGCAACUCGACCUCAUG
rnacentral:rRNA from 1 species